rnacentral:misc_RNA from 1 species
UUUUUUUAUUUUAGAUUUUUAUCUGCAUUUUGAUUGGUGGGAGAUGCUUAUUUCAUCAAGUUUUAGUUUUACAUCAUCUCUGCAGAAUUGCAGGCGGUACUUGCAAGAUGACCAGUUUCAGUGUGUGUAUGCACAAAUCAAUAUAAUUGUAUUUUUUUUUUAAAUUGCGGUUGAUAUUAAUUUCGGCAAAAUAUAGUUCUAGAGUUGAAGAUAUGCUAGAUUCAUUGUUUGCUUGAAUAAAAGAAAAAUAUAUCAUCGUAAUCCAGGAAUAAAUAUAGUAGAUUUUAGCAGCCAAAAACAGGUUUCAGGAACUUUUGACUUGCAGUUGAUGUUUGAUUCAUAAAAUGUAGCUCAAUUGUAUCCUUGCAAGUAAAUGCAGGUGGGGGUCAUGGAUUCAACACCUCAUCUCUUUUGAAAUUAAAAACGAAAAAGGUUAUAGAGUUGAAGACAUUCUAAGUCCUUUGGUUUCAAGUCCCAGUAGUUUAUAAUGAUGGUGGGGAAGUUUGAUAAAGUUGUUUAUUGGAGAUAAGCUCAUUAGCAAGCUGGUAACUUAUGUAGUUAAGAUUAAGAUAUAUCAUAUUAUUAAAGAUAAAAGCAAUGUUUUAUAUAGAAUUGUUUUUAUGUUAGUGAAACUUAAAUUUUAAUGUGGUAUAGCUGUGUGAAGUAUGAAUUAUUUAUUGUGUGAGAUGGCUCCAGCUUGUAUUUGGUAUAUCUUUCAGGUUGAUGAGUAAAUGUGACAUUUGGUAGCCCUCUGCUAUAACAUUUAUUGAGAGUCUAUGUUUGAGUGUCUUUCUGUGUUAAAUAAUUAGAAAUCUUUUCACUCCAUCUUUGAAUUUUACUUCUUUUUUGCAGGAGGCAAAGUUUGCACCAUAUAAUUCUUGCAGUUUUACUCAUCAUAAGAAAAGAAGAAAAGCGCAUGUUUCAUUUGCAUCUGGUGCUUGAAAUUGCUUAAUUGAAUCUGAUAUUGUCCCUUCUGGUCAUAUUUGUUUUAUGAAUUAUCGUUUCUCUGAUUCAUGAAACAUGAAGUUUGUUGCACUUGUGAGGUCCAUUUGUGCCCGUUCUACUCUCCAUGAGAUAACUGGGUCUUUGCAGGUUCGCUUUUUCCAGCAUGAUUUUGUUCCCAGAGAUCCCAAGGCCAAGCCCAAAAAAUACAAAUAUCCAGCAUUUUAUGAUCCUUAUGGUCCUAGACCUCCACCCUCUGACAAAAUCAUUCAACUUGCUGAGCGCAUUGCUGCUCUACCUCCUGAGGAGAGACGUCAAAUUGGCCCCACUCUCCAAUACAAGUUAAAGCAUCCAAAACUGCAGACAAUUUCAACAGAAGGCAUGGACUUGGGUCUCCAAGGAGCCCCAGCUGCUGGAGCUACAAAGGUUGAGGAGAAGAAACAGAAAACAACAUUUGAUGUGAAGUUGGAGAAGUUUGAUGCAGCAGCAAAAAUCAAGGUAAUUAAAGAGGUGAGAGGUUUUACUAAUUUGGGGUUGAAGGAGGCCAAAGACCUGGUGGAGAAGGUACCUGUUUUGCUUAAACAAGGGGUCACAAAAGAGGAAGCAAAUGGCAUAAUAGAGAAGAUAAAAGCUGCUGGAGGAGUUGCAGUUAUGGAGUGAUAGCUUAAGCUUUGCUGUACAAUUGGUUCUUUGUUUUGUUUUAGAGGGCUGAGCUAUUGCAUUUAAGAAUGAAUCUCAACCCUCGGGCAUUGACAUCUGUUUGCGCAGAUAGAUAGCAAUUGUUAUCAGAGAUAUGAUUCAAUAAUUAGUUCAUACUAAUUUCACUACUUUCGUGGAAAAAUUUCUGGUUGUUGGUGCACUUUGGUUUUAGCUUUUACAUAAUUGCACACAGGGGAAGCAACUCCAAGCACCAAGCAUGUAAUUGUUGCUUCUCGCUCUUGCAUUUCUACUACUAUUGGAAUAACAGAUUUUUUACCAUAAUUCCUGCCGGCAUGUUUUGACGGUACACAGCAGAAGUGUCAUAAUUGCAACAUGUAUGUUAACACGGGGUUUUCUGAGAGAGAAAUUUUCCAAGUUGAUAUACAUUGCAUUUUAGCUUCAGCUGAAACACGAACUCUCUUUUAACGUCUUCUUCGUUCGAAGUUCUGGCAAUGGUUAGUUUGUUGGUGAUGGUGGCACAAGAGCGCAUUCAAGGUGCCAUCAGGCCGGACGGCAAUAUUAUGUGUAGAGCCGGCUAAAGGGUCUCAGGUGGGCAGGUCUUAGGAGUGCCCAAUCUGGUGCACUUAUUCUAGAAAAGACCUAGAAGGUUCAACCCAACUUUUAUGAAAACCAUACAAUAGCCGCAUUUUUUUAUACUGUGUUUUAUCUGGACCUGUGAAAUAUGUUCUUCAGUAUUAUUUCCCAGCACUUGAUGUAGUGCGGGUAUUUUCUUGCGAAGGCCUUUGAGAUUACAAUGAAAAAAGCUCACAUGGAAUUUUG